UACGUAGGGUGCGAGCGUUGUCCGGAAUUAUUGGGCGUAAAGAGCUUGUAGGCGGUUUGUCGCGUCUGCCGUGAAAAUCCGGGGCUCAACCCCGGACUUGCGGUGGGUACGGGCAGACUAGAGUUCGGCAGGGGAGACUGGAAUUCCUGGUGUAGCGGUGAAAUGCGCAGAUAUCAGGAGGAACACCGGUGGCGAAGGCGGGUCUCUGGGCCGAUACUGACGCUGAGGAGCGAAAGCGUGGGGAGCAAACAGG
rnacentral:rRNA from 1 species